rnacentral:rRNA from 1 species
UACGAAGGGUGCUAGCGUUGUUCGGAAUUACUGGGCGUAAAGAGCGCGUAGGCGGUUAUACAAGUCAGGGGUGAAAUCCCAGAGCUUAACUCUGGAACUGCCUUUGAAACUGUAUAGCUGGAGUGUGUGAGGGGAUAGCGGAAUUCUUAAUGUAGAGGUGAAAUUCGUAGAUAUUCGGAAGAACACCAGUGGCGAAGGCGACUCACUGGACACGUAUUGACGCUGAGGUGCGAAAGCGUGGGGAGCAAACAGG